UCUGCCAGCUGGCUCAUUUGACAAAUCACCAGGACUCGUUCAUUUUUAAAGUGUCUAUUUUGUGCAAACUUUGCCAAAUUUUCUACAAAUAAGUUCCGUUUCAAUCCAUACACAAAUGCGUGACGAGGCCGGGUUCACGUAUGGAGUUGUUAAUUGUGUUAAAUAGUAUCAUAAAUUGGAGAAAUGGAGAGGUUUCUUUAUUGUUCUGCAUAGCAAGAUCCCAACCACUCUCAAAGCUCAUGUUGAGGCAGUCAUUCUAAGAAAAUAUAUGCCGGAUGAACCUGCGUAAAGGAAUGCUACUUUUAAUGCAAUCCUGGGAUUUGUACGCCCUAUACACACACACCGAAUAAAGUUAUUUAGCAUAACUUGACCCAAAGGGACAGUAUUUGUUAGGUUCAAUCUUCCAUAUUUUCGAAAGUCCCCGACAGGUCAAAACUUUUCGGUUAAUUCGAGUUAAUUUGUUCAGGUCAAAACUAAGCCCGUUUAUUCGCUGUGUAUCAUAUCGAGGAUAUCAAGGGGAUAUGAAAAUUUAUAUAGUCUCCGUAUACGACCCGUAAUUUACUGAACCGAUUAACAAAAGCGAACAGAUUAUAUUUGCAUAUUUAUUAUUUGGGAAUAAGCCGCAUUUCGAUAAUCCCAAAUACGGUUUCUAUUAAGGAUUUGCUUUAGAUUUGAGCAAACUCAUUUUAUUUUUGAGUGUCCGUAUAAAUACCCGCAUAUUUUCAGAAGUUUGCAUUUUAUUUCAAUGUGUUUUGAAUCCAUUUUGCUUCUAUCGAGUGUUUUGUUGAUUUCUGUAUCAAAUAUGGAGAAGCGGCAUUUGAAAGUUCUUCAGUUCUAAACGUAUAUUACUUGUUGAGCUAAUAAUCUCUACUCUAAUAAAAUAUUAAUAGACAACGAACGCAAUUUAAUUUAAAUCUUUACUGUUAAUCAUCGGGUAAAUGAAAGCUCCAGAAAUAUAUAAGUGUUCAACUGAAACACUUUAGUCUA